ensembl:rRNA 5S_rRNA 5S ribosomal RNA
UCCUUCAUUAUGUUCAAUUUUUAAAAUCCUGAUUUUGCAUCUAUGUUCUUGUUAGAUCUCAGUAGCUUAGAAAGGUUGGGCCUGAUCUGUGUUCGGAUGGGAGACCUCCAAGGGAAGCCUGUAGCACUGAAGGAA